rnacentral:lncRNA from 1 species
AGAAUAAUCUGCUUGACGAUAUAUCCCAACACAAAUGCUAUGUAUGAAGCGACUGGGUGGAACACACACCUCUCUCAUUGCUCCUGGAGAGCUGCCACACUAGGCCAUCUUACAGAAUAUGGAGCUGAUUGAUUUGACUACACUGUCUGUCCGCUGAGUUCUCGAGACCUACCUGCCUCCUUCUUCUGACUCCAGCUACAUCUGCACUCUACCUUGAUAUAGGCUCAGGGGAUUGGAACUCAGCUCCUUGAGCCUCCAGAGCUAGCAUUUCACCCACGAUUCAUCUCCCCAUCCCCCGUGCUCAUGUUUGCGGUGCGUUAGAAAAAAGUUCUUGAAAUUACGAUCCUUAAAUAAGAAGCGAUUACAUCUGGUAUCAGCCAGAGACUACCGACAGGUACCCCCCUCCCCCCCACACUGCUCUCAGCUGUGUGCCGCCAGCUUGCUCACAGGCAGUGCCCUGCUGAGUGCCAUGUAAGGGGCAUCGGGGAGGUACAGGGUACCUUACAGAGCUAAAGUUACCUCUACCUCUCAGCAAGAAAGUGACAAGCUGGGACAGGAACCAGGCACCCAAACAGAAGGCCACUGUUCUUCUCCAUACAUGAGUGUGGAGGAUAGCAUGCACAAAUGCGUGCUAAGAGAUGAACCAUGCUCUGUGAGACCCAGGCUGCCACAGAAGUGCCACUCAUCCACCCAUUUUCAUCCACUGACUCAGCUGCUUGAGCAUGUCUAACUCUGUGCUGCACAAAGUACCAGUGAUGGUUUGCAUAAGCUUGGCCCAGGGAGUGGCACUAUUAGGAGGUGUGGCUUUGUUGCAAUAGGUGUGUCACUGUGUGCUUUAAGACCCUUAUCCUAGCUACCUGGAAGUGAGUCUUCUGCUAGCAGCCUUCAGAUGAAGAUGUAGAACUCUCAGCCCCUCCUGCAACACGUCUGCCUGGAUGCUGCCAUGUUCCCGCCUUGAUGAUAAUGGACUGAAUCUCUGAACCUGUAAGUCAGCCCCAAUUAAAUGUUAUCCUUAUAAGAGUUGCC